AUUGAACGCUGGCGGCAGGCCUAACACAUGCAAGUCGAACGAGUGGCGGACGGGUGAGUAAUGUCUGGGAAACUGCCUGAUGGAGGGGGAUAAAUACUGGAAACGGUAGCUAAUACCGCAUCCCAUCAGGUGAGCCCAGAUGGGAUUAGCUUGGUGGUGGGGUAACGGCGCACCAAGGCGACGAUCCCGAGCUGGUCUGCGAGGAUGACCAGCCACACUGGAACUGAGACACGGUCCAGACUCCUACGGCAGGCAGCGGUGGGGAAAAUUGCACAAUGGGCGCAAGCCGGAUGAAGCCAUGCCGCGUGUAUGAAGAAGGCCUUCGGGUUGUAAAGUACUUUCAGCUGUGAGGCGUUACCCGCAGAAGAAGCACCGGCUAACUCCGUGCCAGCAGCCGCGGUAAUUC
rnacentral:rRNA from 1 species